rnacentral:lncRNA from 1 species
UUUUUUUUUUUGGUGCACAUGCUAGAUGGUAUGGAACUUCUCUCAGUGCACUAGCAAUGGAGGCCCAAGCAUGUAAGGAUGGCAUGAUAUUUGCACAGAGUCAAGGUUUGACCCAUCUGAUGCUGGAGACUGACUGUGAAGUACUUGUCAAGCUAUGGCAUGACCUACAGACUCAACGCUCAGAAAUUGCAGGGAUUCUCCAGGAGCUUAAAUCUCUUAGUUCUGUUUUUACUUCCUUUGUAAUUUGUUUCUCUGGUCGUUCUUGUAAUAGGGCGGCGCAUGAAUGUGCUAAUCUGGUUAAUUGUACUCAGAUUCUGGGUGAGUGGCUAUAUAGAGCACCCGAGCCAGUACAAGAAUGCCUGAACCUUGAAUGUAAUGCUUUGCCUGUUUUAGGCCAUAAUCAACACGAAACCGAUGCCUCCGACAAAGGGCAGCGUUCCUCGCAAAAAAAAAACUUGGCAUGGGCAUUUUUGACAUUUUAUACGGGUGUUUUCCCUCAGAGUGUCCACUAACAGUUAAUAGCUUGGCAAUGUCUUCGUGUCUUCCCCAAACGUCGACUAUUGCAGGGUCUCACAACUAUUACCAUGAAGUUAGGAAAUUCUCUGCAACUAAUAAAAUAAAAGUGACGACACUCGCAUUUUUCAUCGUCCAAUUCGAUCGUAGUCACCCCUACGAUUGUCGUGGCUCCUCCGAGAUUUUCUUUGUUUUUUACCUUCGUGUGACCGUCUCUUGUGAAACCGCCUGGAAUCAGUCCGGGAUGCCGCUAAUCGUGCUGCCACACUUUUUGGUUGCAGUCGUGCUCGUCGCUCUUACCCCUGCGCUCCUCCUCCCGCAGGCGAUCUGAUCUGAUCGGCAUUGGCCAUGAUCAGUUAUGCCACUCGGCUGCCCUGCGCCUCUUCCUUAAUCGAUAGUGACGAUGAUCAUUGGCGCCGCUCCCUUAUCCUGCGCGGCUGCGCCUCCUCCCUACUGGCAAUUUGAUCGGCGCUUCGGUAAUAACACGAAUUGUGCGUCGUCACCCCCUCGUGCGUCACCAGAUGCAUCACACAGGGGGUGUUUGGGAGGCACGUGCUAAAUUUUAGCACCUGUCAUAUCGGAUGUUUGACACUAAUUAGGAGUAUUAAACAUAGUCUAAUUACAAAACUAAUUGCACAACCCCUAGGCUAAAUCGCAAGACGAAUCUAUUAAGCCUAAUUAGUCCAUGAUUUGACAAUAUGGUGCUACAGUAACCAUUCGCUAAUGAUGAAUUAAUUAGGCUUAAUAGAUUCGUCUCGCGAUUUAGCCUAGGGGUUGUGCAAUUAGUUUUGUAAUUAGACUAUGUUUAAUACUCCUAAUUAGUGUCCAAAUAUCCGAUGUGACAGGUGCUAAAAUUUAGCACCUGCUAUCCAAACACCCCCAUGUCUAGAGGAAGUGUCAUAGCACCAUGUCGUUGUUCUACAUGAGCAACUGCUGAAACGGAAUAAGCAGUAGUGGAUCCAGAAAAAAUUGUUAGGAACCUCUAACCUCUUCUUAUAAGCUUCAAUGGAUGUAAAUUUACAGGGGGCUUAGGAGGGCUUCAUGGCUCUAGCAACGGUAGGAGGGGCUCUAGCCCCGUCCGCCCUAAUGCUGGAUCCGCCCCUAGGAAUAAGCAAGAUAUCAUAGUGAAAAGUCUUUGCUAUAUGUAGUGUCCUUUUAUAACAUUCAGAAUCUAUUCUGUUUGUAAUGUGUUGCGCAUGCACAUUUUAGUACCAUUUUGCUAUGUUUGUUCGUUUCAUCUCUCUGAGCGGAAAACCUUGAAGCUUCCUCCCAACUGAGGCAUUAACGUUAGUUGACGGAAGAUUAGUUGUUGUGUGUGUUUAUGUGAGCGUCAGUGUAUGUACUGUGUUUUGCAAAAAUAAGGGUAUUAAUUAUGAAGGUGGACAUGGUCGUACGAGCGGCUACUCCUUUCCUAAGAAACUGUUUGUCUAGCAAGCAUAAUCGAACGUGAUGACUAAAUUUCAUAGAAGGGAUAGAUUGAGGAAAUGACUUGUAAUUUUGCUAUUUUCAUAAAAAUACGUGCAUUUAAAUGCAUAAAAGAUGGACAAUUAUGAUGUUAUCAAAUUAGACUAAUAUAUUUUUUUACUUGUAGCAUUCACAUGCAUUUAACUAGUUUAUUUAGAAAUUUAGAGUCUUUAUAAGGAUAUAACGGAUCUGUUUGGUUGUUUGGUUGCUCGGAUGAGGGUAGCCUGGCUCGUACCAGCCAGUCAGGCUCAGUAUGCCUGUGUUCAAUGUGCGCUAUCCGUAUGUUUAGGGGAAAAAACCCGUGAAAAAUUGUUAGUGGUGUAGAUCACCACGUUCGGUGUGCACGUAGCAGCAGUUCCUUGUUGUCGUUUCCAGCUGACCAAUGGCGUUAUUCCACGACCGCCCUCGGUUACUACCAACUUAUCGUCCUUUCCGUUCCCCACGAAUCUUUUAACCUUUCAGCAGUAAAAGCGAAGGCAGAAGGGGUAACAAAGAAACUUUCGCAUAAAGCCCCCUCCCUCCUCCCCCUUCGCCGUUCGCCGCAGAGCCACCUUUUUCCUCCUCCUUGCUCCGCCUCUCCUCCCCCCUCCCCACCUUAAACCCCCUUUCCAACUAGGGUUUAGCGGACGGGCUCCACGCAGCGGAGAGUUCCAGAAGCUUCGCGCGGCGAUGGGGUCGCCGCCGGCCGCUGCGGCGGCGGUUGUGGCGGUGGUCGCGGUGGCGGCGGCGCUGCUGUCGGCCUCCGCUGCUGCCAACCCCGCGGGCGGGCCCCACAUGGCGGACCUGAGCGUGCUGCUGCCCCCUCGCAUGACCAAGCCCGUCGAGUACCGCCUCAUCGGCGGGGAUGGAUGCUUCUCCUGGUAUGCUUCCUGCAGCCUUCCUUCGCCCCCUUGUUUUUUUGCUUCGUGUGCUGCGUGAUCGAUCGCCGCGGAGUGCCAUUCCGCGACCGCGCGCUCCCGCGUCCGCUUCGUGGAGCGAAUCGAGGCUUGAUUGUUGCUGCAGCUAGUGGUUGGGGAUGGUUUUUGUGGCGUGAUUUGCUCCAUGCGCUUGCUUCCUUGCUUCAGAGUGCGGCCGAGUGACCUGAUGACCGAUGUGAACCCUGGUGAAGCCAUAUGGUAGCAUUGCUCAUGGUUUGGGGAACUGAACUUUAAUCCCUUACUUGGAGCAACUGAGUUUUUGUAGUGUUUACACGACUCUACCUCUUUCUGGUACUGGUAUGCACCUCUUAACAAGUUGUUGACUACACCAGUGCAGAAUGUGGGAUGCACACCUCACAUUUUAGGGCACUGAUUAUUUGUGCCUAGUUGGUUCAUACCUAUAUGUUUUAUUUACGAGCAAUGUACUUAAGUACCUAGUAUUAACUCGACUGGCGAACCAUUGUUACUUGUGCGUGGACAUGUAGCCGGUUGCACAAGGACUUUUCACAAUUUAGAAACCAUUCCAGGACCAUGCUUCUGUCCUCUCUAGAGAUGGGAAAUUCCCAUUUCACAAUAUGAAGAAGCUAAUGUCUCCCAAUUUCUUUUGUUUACAGGUCAUGGGAUCAUCAUGAUCUUAUUUCAGUUAAACCAGAGUACAAUGAUAGCAGCAGAUGCUCGACUAGUGCUCGUUUGGCAUCAAUUGCCCCUUACAAUGGCCGGAGAGAGACUUCUGUCUAUGCAACUGAUAUUAUCAGUGGAAUCACAAUACACUGUAAAGUAUUCGUGGACAAGAUCUCGCGGAUCAGAAUUUUCCACCAUGCUGUUAAAAUUGACCUAGAUGAAAUUGCUACAUUGCGUGUUCAUGCCUUUGACGAUGAAGGUAAUUCAUAUGAACUUUUCCAUCUUUGUAUGCGAAAUUGCCAUGGUACCUGUAAACAGUGACACUUCUUUUUCUAUGCACUACUUGAAUUCAUUGUUUGUCGAUCAUUGGUUUAAAGUACCUUUUGGUUUUCUUCUUUAAUUGGUUGUUAACAUCACUCAAUGUUCUUGUUGGUCUGAACAAUCAUUAGUUUAGCUUUUUAGCCUUUUUUCAGUCAUACAAAGCUUUUAGCCCCAAGCAAGUUGGGGGUAGGCUACAGAUGAACCCAUACGGGAGCUACCAACAAAAUGGAAAAAAAUUAUAUAAAAAAUACUAUUUGCUGGCACUGCUAUAUUCUUUUAUUUUAGCAAACUUAAUUUGUUUCCAUUUGGUUCAGAAAAUGUGUUCUCGUCGUUGGUGGGGUUGCAGUUUUUGUGGCAGCUUUCCCCAAGAUUGCUUGAUAGCAGUAGCCAUCAUCUUGUUCAUAUUCCACUGAAAGAAACACAUUUGAGUGACUGUGGUGGCUUUUGUGGUGAUAUGAAUAUUCGGUUUGAGCUAGAAGACAAGGUACACUGCAGCAUUUGUGUUCUUGUUUUCUAAGUCCCUUGACCACUACUCAGUUAUAUAAGAAUGCAUGUUUCAUGUUUGAAUUUUGUUGCUGUACUCAUGCAGAAUCUUGGUUCAGAUUUCUUUGUGGUGAAGGGUAUUGAGAUCGGCCAAGAGGUUGUUAAAGCUCAGUUAUUCGAGCCUCAGCUUGAGCAUGUGAUUGACACAAUCACAUUGACUGUUGCUGAAGCUAUGUCACUAGAGCCACCCUCACCAGUUCUCGUGACAGUUGGUGUUUCGGUGAAGUUUAAACUAAAGGUUUUUCGACAAAAAGUUGCUGAAGGUACCUUCUCUAACAGAUUGAGUUUUUUCAUCGUUUGACACUGAAAUCUCUGAACAAGGAGGGUGACUUAAUUGUGUUUCAAUGAGGAACAUAUACUAGAACAUUUUAGAAGAGAAUCACAAUAGAUGGAAUAAUUUACAUAAAACACAUGGAAGUCAUAUUCAGGGGAAAAAGGGUCAAUUUGACUCAGUGCUGAAAUCUCCACUUUUAGAUUCUGUAUUAUGGUUUAAUGCCAUCCAUUAUGUGAUCUCAUUGCUAGAUAGCACUUUCUUUAGUGCAUGUCUGGUGCUGGAAGCUAACAGAUCCUUUCCAUUUCUACCUUUUACUAGUGAUUAAAUUACCAUCACCAUAUCAUCGAUGGCAUGCAACAAACUCUUCUGUGGCCCAAGUGGAUAGUUCCUUGGGUAUCUCACAUGCUUUGGGUCUGGGCUUUACUAAGAUUAUUGUUGAAGACACAAGAGUAGAAGGUCAUGAACAAGUAUCAUCUCUACACGUUGUUAUUCCACGAACACUCUUCCUUUAUCUGGUCCCUGUUAUGGAUGAUUCUGCUCAUUUUCAUGGGAUAACGAAUAUUCCAUCCUCAAAAGAUUGGUAUGUUUAUCCUGGACGAAAAUACAUGGUCCUUGUCAAAGCAUUUGCAGAGGGAUUUGAUGCUAGGGAGAUAUAUAUUACAGAGGUACUAUUCAUAUGAUGAAUUUGAUUCCUUGCUCUCUUUGUAAAUGUCACUUACUAUUGGAUACAUGGAUACUACACAUAUGAUUAGAUCUGCACGAACAUUCUUGGAAAUUAUUUUGAAGGUCAAUUUGCGGAUGACCUGUAGAACUGCAAGCACAUGCUCUCAAUUUCCAUCAAUCACUAUGUGCUACGUGAUGCAAGGGAAAUAUAAUUUUACCUGAUUUGUAGUAUUAAAUGCAAAAGCUCGAAAAAACAAAAAAUUCCACCAAUAGGAGGAAAUAGGUGGCAUUGUAAACAAAGAAAAAAUAGGCACCCAAAUUCGAGUCAACGAGGACUUGAACCUAGGUGGUUGGGUUGUAUACACACACCAACCAGCUGAGUAGGGUCCCUAAAGCUUGAACAAACACUACCCGGGCAUAAUUACAUUUCUAUUUACAUGCAGUCCUGUGUUCUAGUGAUCAGUGUGCACAUCCCAAUAACUUGAGAUUUUAAAUUACAUGGGCCAUCACAACUUGCUGCCUCAAGAUGCUCCUUGAUGACCACACUUCAUUGGCUCGUGCAGAUGUGUGCAGUCAUGCCUGAAACUUGUGUAGUGCAUAUUCACAUCAAAUAAAUACAACAUCUGAGCAAGUUUAUGGGCAUAAUUGUUUUUUUUUGUUCAAAAAUUGCCAUCUGCAUGGGAAUUUUCUUCUGUUUAUUAAUUCCUUUUCUUUGGCUGGUAGGAAAACGAGCUUAGACUGGAGAGUAGUACCAUGGAAUUCUGGAACUUAUCACAGGUGCUAGACAGUUCUAUAGGUUCCUAUGAAGUGCAAACUUCUAGAUUGUUAAGUCCUGUUUCCCAGGGGAAAGGACAUUUAGUUGCUUCCUUAACUUACCUAACAGAGGCAUCUGGACCAGCAAAGGUACAUCCAACUCAUGCGUAUAUCCUGUUUCUAUCUUGUCAAGUAGAGGUUAUUAGGAUGAUGUUGGGAGUUCUACCAUCAAAGCAUCAUGGCUUGCUGAUUACCUGAUUGGCCCAUGCGAUGCUAGGUUCUCAAGAUCGUGCAAGAGGUUAAUGUUUGUAGUAAGGUGAAGGCAUUCUGGGAUGAAGGAUUGGAGAGCUCCAAUGUUAUUCACCUUCCCUGGGUUCCUGGAGUCUAUCAGGAAAUUGAACUGAAGGCAACUGGAGGUUAGUUAUUGUGAUAACUGCAUAUUCUUUACCAUUUUUGGUUUGUAAUUUGAGCUGAUUCUAUUGUCUUGCAUUCAUCUGAAGGCUGUGGUAAGACACUGGAUGACUACAAGUUAUUUUCCUCUGAUGAAGAUGUUGCUUCUGUCUCUGACUCUCGUAUUGUGCAUGCAAAAAAGCCUGGUCAAGCUGUCAUCAGAGUAGUUUCUGCUUUUGAUUUCUUGAAUUUUGACGAGGUUUGUCCAUCUAAUUUUCGUUUUAAAUCCCGAUCUCUCCUGAACUCCUGUUUUUACUCUUAGUCUUUACAUACUUUAAAAAAUGUAGUUCAGCUUUGAUGCACCAUGUAAUUACUUGAGGUCGACGUGAUAUGAAGAGUGACACAUGUUAUUCCUAUGGAUUAUCUAGGCUCACAUCUUAUUAUGUAGUGCUGAGUUACUGGUUAGCUGUGAGGUUGACACUUCAAACUUUCCACUAGUGGAGAUUGCUAUAACCUCAAAUCUUCUUACAGAUUGGCCACUUGUAUUUUUUUUUCUAAUGCCCUCAUACUUCCUACAGAAUGGUCACUUCCUCUUAUUUUUCUGUCACAAUGAUGUAUAUGUGAGGAAUGCAUAUUGUUACUUUCUCUCAUGAUAGUAACAUGGUAACACUGAUGUAUGUCUAACAUAUAUGCACUGUUUUGCUGUCACAAUUGUUUAUCUUUGGCCCCUACUUUUGGGCAAAGCAUAUUAUGAGUCUAAUUGCUAUACAACAUUCAAUUUGGAAAUAUUUAUCUAAUUUAGGAUGCAACACCCUUUCAUUUGGUUGCUACAGGUAGACGCAAGAUCUGUGUUUUCGCACAAGCGUGUAUCUGCAUUAUCUUAUGUCCAAAAGGACAAACACACCACAGUUGCUUGCUGUAAUCUACUGAUGCAUUUGAUCACAUGGUCAAUUAACUAAAUAUGCAUACAUCUUAAAUGAUUAGUGAAGGCCCUUCUUUACAAUCAUGAUAUUCCAUCUUCACAAGUUUUAAACUCCUGGUAACUCAUUUUGUUUUAUUGGCAAUGUAGAUCAUUGUUGAAGUUUCCAUUCCUUCAGUAUUGUCUAUCUUGCCGGUCUUUCCUGUGGAGGUGCCUGUUGGAACACGACUUCAUGCUGCUGCGGCACUAAAAACAUCUAAUGGUGCGUUUGCUAAAAAAAAACUUAUGGCGGUUCAUAUGACUUGAAUUAGAUGUCUCUGUUACAAAAUAGAUGAAGUUCAGCAAGUAGCAUGCAUCUUACAAAAUGAGAUUAGUACAAGAAUGCCAUAUUUUUUAUAUGUUUAAGUACUAAUCUCAUACUCUAAUCUUUCCUUUUGACUCCUCUCUCAUGCUCUGCUCUCAACCUCAGCAAAUAGUAUAAUUCGUUCAGGGCUUCACUUAAAAGAGACAGAACUUGCAAACCAUAAAAUGUCAUCAUUUUCUUGCAGUAAGACAGAAGCUUAUGCUGAACUUAUACUCCCUCCGGUCUCAAAUAUAUGACAUUUAGGACAAGCUAGUUCAUUUUUGAACUAAAUAGCAUGUCCUAGACACCAUAUAUUUAUGGACGUAGGUAGUAUUUAUUGAAUAUGUAUCACUAAUUAAUUAUUUUUUCCCACAAACUAUUAUGUUCUUCUAAUAGCUAUUAUUGAUGUUUCUCUCUGCAGGACACUCAUUCUCACGAUGUGACCAUCUUAAUGCUUUUAUAAGGUGGAGUGUACUAUCUGAUAAUGAGUCUUUUCACAUUCUUAACACUGCUGAGGCCUCGAGCGUUGAGGACAUAAAACAUAGUGCUGGUUCUUGGGGACAAAAUGGCAAUCCUUGUGCCUGGAUAUCUCUAAAUGCAUCUGCUGCUGGCCGAUCCACAGUAGUUGCAACGUUCACCUUUGAUUCAGAUUCUAAUAUUGAGACACUUGGACCUAUUUCUCUAAAGGCAACUUCAAAAAUUUCUGCAUAUUAUCCUCUGGUGGUUCUUCAAGGGGGAAAUGGAAACCAAUUUGGUGGGUACUGGUUUGACUUAUCUGGAAUACAUGGUAGGAUUGAGAUCAUGGAUAACAACUCUCUGAAGGAGCUGUACUUAGUUCCUGGAUCAGCAAUGGAUGUUUUUCUCUUUGGAGGACCUGAGCGGUGGGACCAAGUGGUUGAUUUUGUUGAAACCGUUGAUGUGAUUGGUGAAUUGAAAAAUCAUAUUACUAGUUCUACUACUGUGCAGAAAUUAUCUAGUGGAAUAUACCGAGUAUCUUGCCCAAGCAAAGUGAACUAUGUAAGUACUUAAAAUGGAUGUUUGCAUUUCCAUCUAUAUACCACAUAUUGCAAUCUAUACUAGUGCAUUGAUUCACUGAUAUGUGCAAUUUAAUGCACUUUUUCCAUAGAAACUGCUGUUCUCACGUGGAAACAUGAUCGGGAAAGAUCAUCCUGUGCCUGCUAUAGCCAAAUCAGAGUUUUCUGUUGUGUGUGACUUCCCAUCAGAAAUAACAUUGAUAGCAAAUGAAAAUGGUACUUUCUUAUCCUUUCCACUGAUAUCCAGUUUAGUCCUUAAAUUACAACAUAUACAUUAUGAAAGCCUUUUACUGUUCCUCUUCAUUCUUUAAAGCCUACCAGUAAUGGUGAUGUUUGAUACCUGUACAGAAAAUCGACUUAAUAUUUUGGAAGCCGCUAGCAAAGCUGACCGUGAUCCUGAUAGAUUGCAAGCACCAGCUGUUGUAAUCUCCAAUGGAAGAAAUAUACGUCUUGCUGCUGUGGGUAUACAUGGAAAUGGAAGAUUUUUUGCUAAUUCGUCUUCUCUUUGCCUGAGAUGGGAAACCAUUGGAUGUGAAGGGCUUGCUUACUUUGCCGAAACCAAAUCAGCUGAAAUGCUUGAUGAGUCAGCUUGGGAGAGGUUUCUUGUCCUACAAAAUUCUACAGGAGUGGUCAGUAUAGUCAGUUAUCACAAAUCACCUUGUUUGAACUUUGUUUUUUUUAAUUACAUCAAUAAAACAAUUGUGUUAGCUUGCAUGUACAAGCAGUAUUCACAUUUUGUUUCUCUUGUUAGUUCGGGUGAUUCACCACCCUCUAUGUAAGACCAAUACUGUGAUUGUACCGUAGUAGUUGCAUGAAUUGUGGAUUAAAUACAGAUGUCUUAUCAUUUACAAUUUUGAACCCCCAGUGCACUGUGCGUGCUACAGUCGCUGGCCUCUCUACCAAAUUUGCUGGCCAAACUCACGAGGAAGAACACACAUUUCAUAGUCUCACAGAUGCUAUUCAGUUGCAGGUAAUUUGACUGGAUUUAUUUUUUUGUGAAUGCUUUUCAUCAAUAUGGCUAAAGCUUUUAUCUCACUCAGCCUGUGUGUUCAAACAGCUUGUUUCUUCCUUAAGAGUCACCCCAGAGUAUGUGAUGUUAGUUUUCCAUCCUGACGCACAGGUGCGUUUUGCUCACAUAUAGAUCCUUUUCAUGAUCCAAAGUAAUAUGAAGCCCCCUUAGCUAUUUAGGCUCUUAUAAAUUUGUGCUGCAGGAAAAUUUGAUUGUCAGUGGUGGAACGUGCUCCCUAGAUGCUUCUACCAAUGACACACAUGUGGUGCAAAUAGUUAAACAUCCAGGAAAAUCCUUAUGUUCUCAAUUGAUUCUUGGGGCUAAAGGCUUAGGCAAAGCUAUUGUCACAAUCCAGGAUGUUGGCCUUUCUCCUAAAGCAACAACUUACUCUCUGGUACUUUUCUUCCCGAUUCUCUUGAUACUUUUUAUACUAAAGUCAACCAAGUGCCUUCUGUUGCAUACUAUGUUUGUACUUGUCAAAUGGUCAUCAACCUCCCUUGAGCCAUGUCCCUGUGUCCAUGCUUUAUUUAGCAUUUCUCUUGGGAUAAUGAUAACUUUGGGUAUGUAUUUGUCAUCCUUAGUUCAGUCAAUUUUCAUCAGAUUAUACCUCAUCAAUAAAGAUGUUCUAAUCUUCCUUUUAGUCCAUUGUAUUUCAAACUGACAAUAGCUUCUCUGCUGCUGUUUUGUUGGUUUGCAGGCUAGAGUUGCAAAUGUUGACUGGAUUCAGAUAAUCGCAGAGGAGCACAUCAGCCUUAUGGUAUAAGGGUCUGCUUUUUUAUUAUAAUUUUAUUUUGCUUGCAUGCUGAUUCUUUUUUUUUUCAUUUAAAGGAAGGAAGCACAAAGGAUUUUCAAAUAUUAGCUGGCACCCAAGAUGGACAAACAUUUGGCGAUUCUCAGGUUUUUGCUGGAGGCACUAUGUGUUAGCAUCAUAUUUUCUCUUCUGUUUUUUAAAUUUGAUUUUGUUUCUAUUUUGACACUUUUCUGGUUUAUAUUUGUCUUGACUCUACGUUAAGUAUAGUCAUUUCAACAUUAAAAAAUAUAUUAUCCUUUUCAGCUGUGUUGAAUCAGUUACACCAAUUCUAUUAAUUAUUUAAGUUAUCUUGUUGGUUCAAUACUGCAAAUACAAUUGUUAUUUGUGCCUAUGAUCUGUUUUCCCUUUUUCAAAUCCUAAUAACGUGACCGUCGAAUGCCUGUUUCAGUCUUUGCACAUUUGAGUGGUUACCAUUGUAUUUCUUUGAGUUUGCUAAUUUGCUCUAUUCUUUGCAGUUCAAAUAUAUGGGCAUUGAGUUGCACCUUGGUGACAAGAUUCUGGAGCUUAUUAGUCCAAGCGAUUCAAUUGAUGGACCCAAAUUUUCAAUUAAAGCUGCAAAAACUGGCAUAACAUCUCUAUAUGUAAGUUGACAAUAGAUAUAUGUUGGCUUCAGUUGCUUAUUGGCUGAUGACCCUUACUAUGCCCAAUCCUCAGGUCAGUACUAGGCAACACUCUGGACAAAGAGUUUUGAGUCAGGUCGUAAAGGUGGAGGUGUACAAACCAUUGCAAAUACAUCCUGGGUAUAUUUACCUCACUCCAGGCGCCUCUUUUGUGGUAAUCAUUAAUAACUUGCUCUCUUCUAUGAAUUUAUGCCAGCUAUAUAUACAUCCUGUCAAGUUUUAUAUGUUCUUUUGGGGAUGGCACUGCUAGCAUGCUGUUGCCAGAUCAUUGGCAUUUUAAUUUUACUUUUAUGGAGAGAAGUACGGGUGCUGAGUUUUAUCUUCCUCAGCUUUCCGUUAAAGGUGGUCCAAAAACUGGAGUUUACAUUGAGUACUCAAGUCUGAAUAUGGAAGUUGUAGAGGUUCAAAAUGCUACUGGGAAGCUGUCUGCAAAGGCUGUGGGGAACUCUGUAAGUCAAUCUGAGAUCAUUUAUUCCUGAUUCUUGAAUCUGGAUUACUUAUACAUUCAGUGUACUGACCUAUUUCAUUAUUUAGACUGUACGUGCUGCUAUUUUGGCAAAUGGAGGUACCUUAGUCUGUGAAGCUUUUGGAAGAGUCGAAGUGGAUAUCCCACUGGCUAUGAUACUGAAUACUCAAAGUGACCGUCUUUGUAUUGGCUGUAGCAUGCCAAUCUAUCCUUCACUGCCUAAGGUAUACUUAAUACCUGUUUGCUAUCUGCUUAUCUUCACAUGUUUGCCAUUAUUUUAACAUGACAAUGCUUCCCAGGGAGAUUUAUUUUCCUUCUAUGAAACUUGCCAAAGUUACAGUUGGAUGAUAGCAGAUGAGAAGGUCAGAAUUCAGAAUACUCCUAUACUUUCCUUGUAUAUAAGUUAAUCUGUACUAAAAAGUUAUUCUGCCUUAGGUUGUGAUAUUCCAAUCAGCUAAAUCUUGGCAAUACAGACUUGGCCAAGGAUCAGAAGGAAAAAACAAUCCAUGGUUUUCCAAUGGCAGCAGCAAUUCUUUUACCAACCAUAUGAUUGGGAGGUACUGCAUGGAGCACUAUAUUGAAUUUCCAGUGAAUUGCUUUUGUCUAUAGCACAGUUGACUCUUGACUGCCUGAAACAUGAGUAUACUGAAGUAGUGUUUUUAUUUGGUGCUCAUCUUUAGUUCAGCUAGAGACCAAGUAUGCCUUAAUAUGUUAUUUCAUUCUUGUAACAGGUCUGCUGGGAAAACCAAAGUUUCCAUUUCAGUUACUUGUGACUUCUUGCUAGCUGGCACCACUGGGUCUGUUGUAUCAUACAAUGCCUCCAAGACCAUUCUGGUGGUUCCAGAUCCUCCCCUUGCACUUGUACUUCCUAUAACUUGGUUGUUCCCACCCUUUUAUACUACUACGAGCCUUUUGCCUAGAUCAGCGAAUUCACUUGGAGAACCAGACUCACUUGACCUGGAGAGUUCGGUUGGGUAUUCUCUGCUAAGGGGCAGUGGUAGGGGUGGUUCUGCGAUCCAAGAUGCUAGCAUAAUUGAUGGAAGUAAGAUUAGGACUGGAGAAAGCAAUGCAGUUGAUUGUAUUCAAGCAAAAGACUACUCAACUGGAAGAACAGAAAUAGCAUCAUGUCUACGAGUUGCUGAGGUUGGAUGCUGAGACUCAUGUUAUUUUAUUUUGACUGCCAAUUAUUUACUUAUGAAGAUCCCUAUUUGUGUUUCCAUCUUUCUUCUGAACUAAUUUUACUGCACUCAAUUAGAGUAUAAAGGCCUAAUAGAUUUAGGCCCCGUUUGGAUCAUUGGAAUUGAAUUCCAUCAUAAUAAUCAUAAUUUAGACACAAAUUAAUUAAGCUAAUAUAAUUGUAUGUGGAAUAUAGUUGUAUAUUAUAGUUGGUGAUAUGGGAGAGAUACUUGUAUGCUGCACUUCUACCAUAGAGAAGCGAGUCUAAGAGCGUGCUAUAAGAAUUGAAUUCCAUUCUAAUAACCAUAAUCUAUAGAAUCAAUUUCCAUCUCCCACCCCAUGAAUUUAAGAUAGGCUUAUAUCUAAACUUUGGAAAGUUGUGGAAUGCCACAUUCCAACAUAAAUUAGCCUACUCCAUUAAAUAGAUUCCAAUUCCUUGGACCCAAACGGGGCCUUAUGGAAACUGGAAAAAUCACGAUGCUUUGCUUUACUUAUGUUGUGUAUCUAACCUAUUCAUAAGAAAUCUUUACUAAUUCUAAUAAUAUUAAAAUAUUUAUGUUUGGCAUUGCUAUGGAGAUAGCCAAUUAGUGUGUCCAAAAGUGCAAGUAAAAAGCCACACAUCUUCAAUGCCAAAGGAAAGCUUAAAAGCAGAUCACAUCCAAUUGUCAAACUGCAACAUUCUUUGUCAUGGGAUUACUAUACUCUCUUUAUGUUUAUGUGGAUUGAAGUGAGAAAUUGAUCUUAUGCCUGAUGUUUUCUUUGAUGCUGAUGCUGUGAUAAUAAUUAUUCAGGUUGCACAAGCACGGCUAGCUGCUGCAGAAUCAUCAGUCCAGAUUGCCUAUCUAUCCGUAAAUGAUAGAGUUGAAUUGGAUAUAAAAUAUGCUGAUGAAUUAGGUAGAUCAAUAGCUCCUUUCUUGAUGAGCACAUGUUUUGUUUGUCCCCUUUCGUCUGGAAUCUUCAAUGAAGCUGCAUCUUUAUAUAUACCAAACACUUCGAUUCUUAAUGCACAUGUUUUUGUUUUUUGUCCAUUUUCAUCAGGUUAUAUCUUCCAUGAAGCUCAUGGAGUAGCCCCUGUAAAGGUUGAGACAAAUUAUCCUGAUGUUGUAUCCAUUCUCAUGCCAAGAGAUUUUAAUGGUACACAUGGCACACAUGAACGUUUUGUUCUUCAGGUAUGUUGUGGCACACAAGAGUGUAUCUGCUCAAUUCAGGAAUACUGUUUAAUUCUAGGAGUACAAGCAUGGACAUGUUUAGAACUCUCUAGUCUUUUAUUCAAACUGUAUUAUUGAUCAGUAUGUUUUUUUAACUUGAAGGCGAGAAGUCAUGGGACAGCUCUUAUAAGGCUGCGCAUAAACCAUAUUCCAAAUAAAGCGGAUUUCAUAAUGGUAAAGUUCUAUGUUGGCUUUUGGUGAUCUUGCCCCUACUUUGAAGUGCAAUUGUGUUUUUACCCCUGUUUUUUGAACUCUGUGAUUUUGCCCUCAACUAUUCACAAAUCACAUUGACUUGUGAAUAGUUGAGGGCAAAAUCACAAAGUUGAGAAAAUGAGGGCAAAAUCACAAUUACACUUCAAAGCAGGGGUAUAAAGACAAAUGCCCCUUGUGUGUUAUAAAUCCAUGUCAGUUCAUGCUGUAUUUGAUUCAUUAUGAUUUACAGCUGCUCAAACUCAAUAUGAAAUAGGAGAACCCACUAGUUUUGAUACUUUUUAGCUAUAUAAUUCUGUAGACUUUUAAUUCUAUUUGCCAAACCCACUAGUGGGCAUUCUUUUGUGAAUUGUGUACGGUGUCCAAGUUAGCAACAUCAUACACUUUCUGCACGUUGGCAUGUGGCAGUGCCAUUGAAUUGGAGAACUGCAUAGAUACAGUGACAAGGCUUCUCUCAUAUUUAAUGCACGCACUCAAGCACUUUUUUCUACUCCAAAUGUUUCUCUCUAGGUAUCUGUUGGUGCACAAAUGUAUCCUAGGGAUGUGAUCCUUCAUUCUGGUCAGCACCUGAACUUCACUGUUAUUGGAGACGGUAUGUUCACUGAAACUAUUUUCUUAUUAAUAUAUACUUUUUACAAUUUUCUGCUUUUUAUAUUUGUAUUUGAUGUUCACCAGAUUCAUCAUUUUGAUUUUAUCUUAUCAACAGUAGGACAUGCUCUUGUGGAUUUUUUUUUUAAGGAAAAAGUCCAAAUUACUCCCCUCAUUUAUGGCCAAAGUCUGGUUAAACCCUGAACUCUUUUUUGGUUUGAUUUACUCCCACAGCUAUGCCAAUUGGUCCCAUCUACUUCUUGAUAAGAUUUGUAUUUUUUGUCUCCAUCUCAAGUGGAGUUUUAAGUUAAAUCAUCGUGGGGCUGGUAGCGGGCAUUUUUAUGUUAAAAAAAUACAGUAUGCAUGUUUCAUCGUUAUUUUUCGUACAGUUUCGUAUCACUAAGGUUACUUUAUUAUUAGAUGUCCUAACCUAUCACAGUAAUAAUGAAAAUUGAUAGUGUAUUCUUUUUUAACAUAAGUUAUGAUGUCCUCCUCUAUCACCCUACAAAAUUUUAACCUAAAAUUCCACUUUGUGCGUAGAGAAAGAAAAAAAAGUCAAAACUUAUUAUCCGGACUUUGGCAUGCUUGAGGGGAGUAAUUUGGAUUUUUUUUUCAUUUGCUUAUGUGGGUUAAGGGUUAUAGCAGGUGAUAGGUCAGAAGUAGGUUGCUUUCAGUCUUACCUUACUUAAUAUCAAGUAUUUAGUUGAUUAACAGAAUGGGCAAUCUAUUACUGUAUAUAUUCUUUGGUCAUAACAAUGCUACUGCUGUAGGUAUGGAAACGCGUGGAUCUGGCCACUGGUUAAGUAGCAAUGAAAAGAUUGUGCAUGUCAAUCGUGUGACUGGUGAAGCACAGGCACGUAGUGAAGGUGUAGCAGAAGGUAAUCUUAAGAACAUGUGCCCAAGUAUAACUGUGUAAUACAUUAUCAACUAGAUUCCAUUUUUCUUGAUGAUAACUUUUCAUAAAUUUUCUUUCCAAACAGUAAUCUUCAAAGGUUCAAAUCUUAAGCUGCAAACAACUGUCAGUGUCCUCAAGGUGAACCAAAUAGUUGUUGAUGCUCCUGCAGAGACGCUGACUAAUGCUGCUGGCCCACCUGAUGGAUACAAGUUCUCUGUAAGAUUCAGGUUUGUAAUGCUCAUAUCAUUCUUUCUUCCACAUUUUUGUUAAUUAAAAUAUAAUCACAGCUGAAUUACUCUAUUUCCUUGUGACUGUCCUUUCGUCAUUAUUCAUGAAGAGGCACAAGUAUAUGGUAUACUAGAUUGGAAUAUGUUAAUACUUAAACAUACUGAUGUGUAGUAAUACUAUGGAAAAUGCCCACUUAAACCAACAUUAUGGUGCUUUUAAUACUUCCAUAUAUUCAUAAGUUCUCGGUUGCAUUUUGUGAUCUAAAAGUAGAGGCUCAAUAUGUAUAUGUGUAAAAAGCAUAUUACUUGUAACAUCGGAAUCAGUCACUAUAAAAACUUAAUAAGUCGUUAGGUAUUAGACUAUAAGUGAGUUUAUUACAUCUAUCAGCAACUCUCUCUCUCUCCAUUCUGAAAACCUAAGCAUACCAGUAUUUUGGAUACUCUUGACUCACUUGUGCUAACCUUUUCAUUCUAUUUUUGUAAGAAGUGAUUCAACUGAGCACAGCAGUGGAUCCUCUGUGAGUCCAAUUGAUGUCCCGUUUGAAUGCAAGGUUGACCCUUCUUUUGUUGGGUAUGCUUCCUUCUCAUUAUCAUUCACUCAACUAACUCUUGAAUAUUUUAGUGAAAUCUCACAUUUGUUGCUUCCUAUAGGUAUGUUGAGCCAUGGACUGACCAUGCUGCAAAGAAAUCCUAUUGCCUGUUUCAUCCAUAUCCACCUGCACAGCUGCUGGCUGUGAAGUUGAACCAGAAGGAAGGAUUCUUACACAUUUUAGUUCGCGCAAAUCUAAAGGAAGACCUGAAGGUGACAGGAUCUGCACAUGCCCUUUUUGUCAAAGGAUUUUACAUCAAAGAACCUGGGAAGGUAGGUGCCCUCUUCGUCCCUUGCCCAUGUGCGUGGAUGGUUUUUAUUUGCAUUGACUACAAGGUGGCUAUCUCAUGCAGUUAAAUUUGGCUCCAAGUUGCAAUCAUAGCACCAUUACUAUUGGUGGAAAUACUGGUAUGAGAAAGCUUAGUGUUGAACUUAAACCGUUGCGAUUGGCUUGUUCUUCUACUGAUAGUCAAGUUAUUGUUUGUCCUGUUCUAGAUGUUGAGUUAUUCUGGAAUGCUAAAGAUUUACUCUCAGUCAGCCGUGUUGACUCAAAUGAGAACAAGGGUGUUCCUAGUCAAAUUAUCUACAGGGUGAGCCACAACUAAAAAGUCAGCAUUUUCUUUUCUUUUUUAUUUUUGUUUACCAAUGUUUAUUGCUGGUAACCAUGCACUGGUCUCAUCUUCUUGUAGGUUGAAGCGCUAAAAAGGCAACCCUUCUCUGAGAAGGUUACUAUCAUUCUUCCUGUCACUGGUAUGCUAUAUAAUCUCCUUUUCUUAAAUCCUUGUAAUAAGCUGAUCACCUAGAAUUAAGAUAUCUCAAAACAAGAUUAGGCUCCAAAGUCCAAACAAUUUCUUGUUUGUAGUAUAUGAUUCAUGUAAUAAGCUGAUCACCUAGAAUUAAGAUAUCUUGUUUUUUUACCAUCCUUGGGUGAAAUUAGGCUCCAAAGUCCAAACAAUUUCUUGUUUGUAGUAUAUGAUUCAUGAUUCAAGUUUCACACACCAAAUAUGAUUGCAAUGCUGUGGACUGGUAGUUACUAUUUCCCUUUCCCCCUUCUGCAGGCCAGACUGAGGAAAUCGAGAUCAGCUAUGAUACAGGAGAGAAGGCAGAGCCAUCAUCAUCAUGGGGCCUAACCACAUUUGCUGUUAUCCUCACAUGCAUCGUGGUACCGGUAGCUACAAUUGCGUUCUUCAUGAAGUCACUGGAGAGGCCUAGCAGACGGGCACCGUCAAGGAACACGGCAGCAUCCACACCAGCACGAACACCGGUGGCCAGUCCCGCUGCGAUGGCUGACCCUGCAUCCCCAGCUAAUGGUCAGCUCUCGCCUCGCACGCCACAGCCAUUCAUGGAGUACGUGAGGAGGACCAUCGACGACACGCCCUACUACAAGCGCGACGGCAGGAGGCGAUUCAACCCUCAGAACACGUACUGAGCGUGUGUUGCUAGGUUAGCGGUGGGCUGGCGGUUUGUUGUAACGUUUCCUCGGAGAUUUAGGCCUGUAGCUUGUAGAGCCUUGUAAUUCUUGCACGCGCAUGCCCAUGCUGUGAGGAGAAUAUGCUGCCGAUUUUCAGGUUCUGGCAGCAUCUGUGAAGAGCGAUGAUUGGUCCGGGCGCCAUUUCCUCCGCAAUACUCUGUUAGUUGUGAGGAGUAAUGCAAGACACCCUCCUUUUUGGGGUGCAACUCUGUUAGUUCUGAACUUGUGAUGGACAUGUAAAUUUAGGUAUGUACAUGGGACGCUCGAGCCUUGGUGGUUGGUGGAUAGCUCAGUCAACCAUCUUUCUUCUGUAGUAAUUACUGUUGAUGGUUCGGCUUCAGUUGGCUUCUUUUGUUCUCGUUCUCUAGACUUUGGAAGCCAGUUUAUUUUUACAGACCCAGUGGCCAGUGGGUGAAUGACAAGACAUUGUGUCCCUAUAUAUCUACACCGUUAGAGGGGGACCUUGUUAUGUAAUCUAAGAUAAAUUAGAUCUACACCGAAUCAUAUCACGUGACGCAUGGGAUCACAGUGGUUCCACCACUUGAUAAAUCGUAUUCGUUUGUACGCACGUCAGAGCCAUCGUCAGUUCGUCGCCUUCAUCGUCUUGCCUUGCCCACACGUUCUGUGCACUCCAUCUGGUAAGCAUGUUAUGUGGCGACAAUUAAUGAACAUAGUUUAGGUAUGUUCACGACAAAUCAUGCCAUAAUAUUUUUCAGAAGAAAAUCAAGCGAUAAUAAAGGGGAAAAAAAACUUCGUAAAAAUGAAAAAACAAGAAUGGCAGCCCAAGUUUUGUUUGGGCCGAGUCGAGCCCAGAAACUUUUGUCAGCCACUUUUCGCCGUUCUGGGACCAAGUCCACGCCGCUGAUACAGGCGGAGAAUGGAGGCCGCCACCGCCGCCGCCGCCGCCGUCCUCCCCGCGCUGGUGCCCUCCGGUAGCGCGGUGGGUGCCUAGUUCCUCAUCGCUCCACUUGUCUACUUCCAGUUGCGGCACAUCGAUCCCUCACUGUGUACCUGCGUGCUCGCUCUGUGCUGUGCAGGUGGUGGUGCUAUUCGCCUACCUCGGCUACCUCGCCGCCGCCGGAGCCAUCCUCCCCGGGAAGCUCGUCGCCGGCGCCGUCCUCCAGGAUUCCUCCCGCCUCCACUACCGCUGCAAUGGUAGGCCUGCUGCCGCCGCGCGUGGCGGCCCCUACCCUAUCGCCACGCGCGCCCGAUCCCUGAACCCUAUGGCCAAACAACGGCAUUGCUUUGUGUUCGUCUCAGCUUGUUGAUGCGUGCGUGCGUAACCCACAGGUUUACUCUCGCUCCUGCUGCUACUGGGCCUCUUGGCGUUCGGUUCCUACAUGGGUUGGAUGUCUCCCACGGUGAGCUCCUGUUCAGUCCUGAUGCCUUGUGCAUCUGAGUGUUCCCCUGUUCAAUUGGUGCGCUAUUUAUACUCUGAUUCAACAAGGACCGAACGGCAGUCCUAUUCGGAUGACGAGCGCAGUGAAAUUUCUGUUGCGGUUUAUAAUCUGUGAAUUGACUUAGGUACGAGGAAUUGAUCAACGGAUUGUUUGUCGAUGCUUGCAGGUUGUGGCUGACAGGGGACUUGAGCUUCUAUCAGCGACCUUCAUUUUUAGUGUUAUUGUAAGUGCCUCCUCGGACAGACGGACCUUUCCAUGUCAUCUGCACCUGCUUAUGAAGAUUCUAACUGCUUGUGCCUGGUACUUUUGGGGUGCCUCAAUGCUAUCAUUUAUGUAAACUGGAAAAAGGAAAGGGGGGACCUUGCACACUUAUGAAAAAUAAAUAAUCACAUAUUUUAGAUGACGUAUUGCACUCGAUAUACAUUUGCGUGAUUGAAGCUUCCAGACCAUCUGAAUGUCUGAAUGACCUGGUCUUAACUCAUAGUGUCAACGAUUUCAGAUAUUACAUGUUCAGAAUUGCUACAUCCUGAAGUAAUCAUAAGAUAAGCCAAGUGUUGAACUGUUGAUGCACGGAGUGUCAAAUUUUCCCAAUUUGACCUUGGUUAUGGGUGUGUCUCAUGCGUGCACAUUUUUGGCUUACCGACUAUGAAUAUUAAUUUGGUAAAAUAAAAAAAUCACAAAAUGAAUAGUUUAUCCUGGAUUUGGAUGGAGAUUCACAAGAAAAUGACUUGAGGUGGCAAGCCCAAGUGAAACUUUUCCUCCAGGGGCGGAGGGAGGUGCUGAGGGGGCUAGAUGCAAAGAGUAGAUGGACACCGAUUUCACCACGUAAAUUUGUGAAAAUUUAAGCUUUUUCCUCCUAAUGAUCAAUCAACUACAAGCUGGCCCCCUCAUGGAUGUUUUUCUGGCUCCGGCCCUUGUUUCCUGUACUUUGGUCAUGAUCAAAAUGCUAGCAAAAAUCUGGUCACAUUCAUAUUUUCACCAUGCAGUAUUUAGUUAUGUUGUGUCAGACUAUAUGAAGGCUAUUUGAUUGGAUCUCAUAUCUCACUCUUUAAUUUCAGGUCACUUUUGCACUCUACUUUGCCGGCACCAAGUCCCGCCACAAAAGUUCUUCUUUGAGGCCACAUGUUAGUGGGAGCUUCAUACAAGAUUGGUAACUUCUAGGAAACUUCGUUGUGUCUAAUAUAUAAAAAUAUGUCUGGCUUAUUUUGGUACUUAAGUUUUUUUUUUAUAUAUUCUUGUUAUUAUUGAAAGAUCAAGCAAAGAUAAUCUUUUGUUUCUCAUGGCUUGUGUCUUCAAUUUGAAUGUGAGAAACUACUAUGCAUUUGAUUGCAGUUCUCUUUCACAUAGCACUGAUACUUGUUGUUUUGAUCACUUUGUUCAAUAGGUGGUUGGGAGUGCAGCUUAAUCCUCAUUUUAUGGGAGUUGACCUCAAGUAUGUCAACAAUUUCUUGUAUUUUUGCAAGCAUAUGACGUGCUGCUGUCUUGGAAUUUUGAAAUAGGAUCAGGGUUGCCAAGAGAGAUUUGUUAUUGGUUGAUUGAGAUACGCCUAUGAUUUAUCUACAAUCUGUUUGACCCUUUGACAGAUUCAUAGGUUCCUUAAUGUAGUCUACUCAUGCCUAAUACUUGUGUCAAUUCAUUUUAUACAUGUAGUCUAUGGAGAAUACCUAGUCAACUUAAAUGGAAUGCUUAGUGAUUGUUUAUUAUGCUACUGAUUGACUACAAAUGAGAAAUAAUUGCUGCUCUUGGGAUCUGCUGAAACUCAAGUUUAUCUCCACACCUUAGCUACUUAAUUUGGUGCAUUGAGGUAUAGAAUCCAUAAUACUUUCCAUUCUUUAGAUUUUCACCUUUAGAAAUGGCAUCUUGGCCUAGUGUUUCUAGGUUAUCCUGAUAAGAAAUACAAAUGUGGUUAGACAUGAUGUAUUCUCUCUUUAUUUUCUCCUCAGAUCACUUAAUUGCUGGUGCUUGUAUUGUAUUGUUUAUACUACACGCCAUUGACGUUAAUGAAAUUUUCAUGAUAAUUAUGUUUUCAAUCAUUGCAGAUUCUUCUUCGUGAGGGCAGGAAUGAUGGGAUGGUUAUUUAUCAACCUCUCUUUGCUUGCAAAGAGCUACCUAGCUGGUUCCGUCAAUCUUUCAGUCAUUCUCUACCAAUUCUUUUGUGCGGUAUUGGACAGCAAAAAUCUUCUUAAUUGAUCAUCUUCUAACCCCUUAUUUCUGGAAUUAAUUAUACCUGUUCGUGCAGUGGUAUAUUAUAGAUUACUUCGUCCAUGAAGAAUUCAUGACCUCAACGUAAGUAUAUCACAUGCGGUCAGUGGUAAAUAGAUUAACGAUGGUGAACAUACUAAUCCCAAACAAUAUAUGUUGAGAUCUCUUGUGGGAAGAUUAAAGAUGAUAAACAUACUAUUCCUGAACAAAAGGUUGAGACCUCUGAUUUGUUUCAUUGCUAUUUCCAGGUGGGACAUUAUUGCUGAAAGGUUGGGUUUCAUGCUGGUGUUUGGUGAUCUAGUUUUCAUUCCUUUCACCUUCACUAUUCAGGUAUAUACUUUCUUUACAUUUCAUUAUUGCAAAUGUUGACCCAUGGUGCUAGCUAUUGAAUACCUUAGGCAGAACAUUGUACCUAACAUCAAUUUUAUUUGUGUUUCUCAAUUGUCAGAUUUCUGGCAUGCGAGAUCAUUGAUGUCUCUUCCAUUAAAACAGUUGUUUUGAGAAUUAAACUAAUCAACAAUUUAUUAUUUCUUUUUUGUCAGGGUUGGUGGCUUUUGAGAAAUGAAGUGAAGCUGUCACCUUUGGCUGGUCUAGCUAACUUUUGCAUCUUCAUUAUUGGGUACUCUUGCUCUUUCUCCAGAAUCAACCUCUUGUUGCAUUAUUUUUGCUACGUAGCCGUUUCUUGUAUUCUAACCUUGACUUCUGUACUUUAUACCAUGUGGCACACAGGUACCUAGUGUUCAGAGGAGCUAACAAGCAAAAACAUGUUUUCAAGAAGGACCCCAAAGCUCCUAUAUGGGGAAAACCUCCCAAAGUCGUCGGGGGAAAGCUACUUGCAUCCGGCUACUGGUAAGGACACAUGCAUCAUGUGGAACUUAUGCAUGCCAAUGCCCCUUUGUUAAUCACGUAAUAUUUAUACACUGUCAUCUACUCAUCUAUGGUGCUUGCUAUUGACCUUUGACCAUGUCUAAAUGUAUGAUGCUUGCUACAAAUAACUAAGAACCACACGUCACAGGUUUCUUUUAGAUGACAUGUCUACUGUAUGGUUAAUCCUGAUAAGUUGAAAAGUGAGAAGCAAAGGAGUCAAUAGAAUCAUUAUGAAUUUUUAUAGUGAUAGAUGAUAGUGGCCCCAAAUGAUGUUUAUGGAAGAUUCAAAGAUGUAGCAAUUUGUGCUUGUGGUAUGUCAGUUGCUGCUUAUUCGGUCAUUAUAUUGUUUUUUCAAAAUGUUUGAUAGCUCAGACUUAAAAUGUUCCUUUCUCUUGUACUCCCUCCGUCCCAAAUCGUAGGUCGUUUUGGCAUUUCUAGGUUGAUAGCUUUUGCUAUUCAUCUAGGGAGUAAGAGUUAUCAAGCCUGUUGUGUUGUUGUGAACGUGAAAUUACGAAGCUCGUCAUCAUCCAAUUGCAGGGGCAUCGCAAGGCACUGCAAUUACCUAGGAGAUCUACUGCUAGCGCUUUCGUUCAGCCUGCCCUGCGGGUUCAGGUGACUGUUGGGUCGAUUAUCUGUUAUGCUUCCUUUUCUCAGUGGAAUGCCAGUGAAAGACAAUGUUGGUGGAAUCCGCUGUUUUGCAGCUCUGUGAUCCCGUACUUCUACCCGACCUACCUGCUGAUUCUGCUGAUCUGGAGGGAGAGGCGCGACGAGGCUAGGUGCUCGCAGAAGUACAAGGAGAUCUGGGCAGAGUACUGCAAGCUCGUGCCCUGGAGGAUCCUACCUUAUGUGUACUAGUUGGAAGGCGUUGUACUCGACGGUCGAGCGAGCCUGAAGGUGCAGGUCAAUCUUAGGAUGGUAAAUGUUACCUAUUGGCCUUGGGUGGUUUCUUGGCGAAUCCCCAUCACUACUUGUAAAACUAUGAGCUUGCUGAUGUUGCUGUACGUUUUCCUCCUGGAUAUUCGUGUUUGCAAACCAGUUGCCCUGAGGCACGCACGGCACAGCAGUUCAGUUCCAUGGCGUUUAAGUUAUCAACUGCAUGUCGCUCUCGUGAUUUGUGUCAGAGGCUUCUAGUCGUUGGCCGUUUCCUGCUGAAUUUCGAUCGCUAGAUGAUGACAAGUUAGGCGUGUCCUUGAUUUUUGCCUAGAAGAUACACAAGGUUUUCGUCAAAAAAGGAAGGUUAUGAUAGGAAAUGGUUUGGUGAGCAGCAAGAGUUGAACGCGGCGUCUAGAACUAGAACCUAGUAACGUGAAUGUGGACAUGGGUACGUCGCAUGUGGUGCGCGCUAGCGGUGGUGUUGGCCACCUCGAUGAUUCGAUAUCGGCACAGAUUGUCCGGCGUUUUGCACGUGCGCGACAAUCGCCGCUGUCUCAGGGACUGGAUGAGAUGAGAUGAAUCCUCCCCGAUAGCCGUCCAGUUGCGUUCGUCACCUCGUCCAUUUUCCCCGGGCUAUUUAAAAAAAAAAGCUACGUUCAAAAAAACGAAAGCAGGUUCGUCGGGAAGUACAGUACUCCAUCCGUCCUGUAGGUUAUUUUUUUAUUCAUUAGAUUUGGUUGUACAUUUAGAUAUACUGUAUAAUAUUUUUUCCAUUCAAAAAAAAUAAAACGAUCUAUAAUUUGAAAUCGAGGAACCGAAAAAGUAACAUUUAUAAAUUUAAAAAAGCUAAAAUAACCCAGAAUUUAGAUUCUAGAUACAGAGGGAGUAUUCAUCGUCACGACGUCACGCACGUGUGAAAUGUGAACCGGGUCCGGCGGCAUGCAUGGCAGGCAGCUCAAGCCAAGACGAGAUAUUUCGUUCGGGUCCUUGCACGGUUGGUUGGUGUUGACGGAUGCAGCCACGCAGGGCGCGCCUGUGUGUGUGGUUUGCCACGUAGCACGCUGCAGACGAACGGUGCGCCUACUGCUGUCAGAUCAGGGUGGCCCCAGCAGAUGGUCGUCUCCAGCGGCUCGUCGACGGCUUUGUCUCAGUCUCGGUCCAACCAAAGUUAAACUUUUUAACUACUAGUAGCCUCUGCUACUAGUAAUUUUUACUCCUACUAGCGGCGGCGCCCACGAUGGGACGGGGGAAUAUGGGAUCAGAGCGGCUUCAAGUCACCACGGCGUUGCGUUUCCGUUUGGGACCUGCCGCCCCCACCAGCCGCCAGCGGCGUCGGCGCCCGUCACCUCGCCCGCCGUCGCCGUCGCCGUCGCCGACGUAGCGAGACGACAGGGCAAGGGGUCCGCCGCGCACGCCCACCACACACGCACGCCUCCAACCCUAUAAACCCCGCGCCCGCGCUGGCUUUUCCCUCUAGCUUGCCUCGGAGGAAGCUCUCCUCCUCUUCCCAAGCUGAGCUGAGAGGGCUGAGGCUGCCGCUGCCUCUCCCCCACCGCCCACCGCCCACCGCCCACCCACCACACCCCACCCACCCACCUACCACACCACACCACAACAGGUGGGAAGGGAAAAAAUAAAAAUAAAAAAGCCAGCGCCCCGGAACACGGGGAGCGAAAUCGCCCGGCCAAUCCACCCACCCCAACCCCGACAUGGAGGCCGCCGCCGCGGCGCCCGUGCUCGACGCCUUCUUCGCCGGGCCGCGCCACCACCACCACCAGCUCCGCCCCACCGCCGCCGCCGGAGGCGGCUGCAGAUCCGCGCGCCUCCAGGCCCAGCCGUCCCGCGCCGCCGCCGCCCCCUACGCCCGCGCCGACUGGCAGGCCGCCUGCGCCAUCCUCGCCAGCAACUCCAGCGGAGGCAACGGCGGCAGCACCAGCAGCGCCGACGCCAGCAACAGCAAUAGCAGCAGCAAGCAGCCGGCGCCGCGGGUCAACGGGCAGGAGCCGCCGCGGCCGCCCGCGCUGGAGGCGACGCCGGCGCCGGUGCCCGCGGAGCUGGAUCUGGUGCCGGUCUCCAACCUGCCCCGGCCCCUCAGCAUCAGCGACCUGUCCCCGGCGCCGAUGCACGGGUCCCAGCUCCGCGUGGCGUACCAGGGCGUCCCGGGCGCCUACAGCGAGGCGGCGGCCGCCAAGGCCUACCCGGGCUGCGACGCCAUCCCCUGCGACCAGUUCGAGGUCGCCUUCCAGGCCGUCGAGCUCUGGAUCGCCGACCGCGCCGUGCUCCCCGUCGAGAACUCCCUCGGCGGCAGCAUCCACCGCAACUACGACCUCCUCCUCCGCCACCGCCUCCACAUCGUCGGCGAGGUCCAGCUCCCCGUCCACCACUGCCUCCUCGCGCUCCCGGGGGUGCGACGGGAGCUCCUCACCCGGGUCAUCUCGCACCCGCAGGCGCUCGCGCAGUGCGAGCUCACGCUCAACGCCAUGGGGCUCAACGUCGCCCGCGAAGCCUUCGACGACACCGCCGGCGCCGCCGAGCACGUCGCCGCGGGCGGGCUCCGCGACACCGCCGCCAUCGCGUCGGCGCGCGCCGCGGAGCUGUACGGGCUCCAGGUCCUCGCCGACGGCAUCCAGGACGACGCCAGCAACGUCACGCGCUUCGUCAUGCUGGCGCGGGAGCCCAUCAUCCCGCGCACCGACAGGCCCUUCAAGACCAGCAUCGUCUUCGCGCACGACAACGACGGCACCUCCAUCCUCUUCAAGGUGCUCUCGGCGUUCGCCUUCCGCGACAUCUCGCUCACCAAGAUCGAGAGCAGGCCGCACCGCCACCGCCCCAUCCGCCUCGUCGACGACGCCAACGUCGGCACCGCCAAGCACUUCGAGUACAUGUUCUACAUCGACUUCCAGGCGUCCAUGGCCGACGUCCGCGCGCAGAACGCGCUCGCCGAGAUCCAGGAGUUCACAUCCUUCCUCAGGGUGCUCGGCAGCUACCCCAUGGACAUGACGCCGUGGGACGCCGCGCCGUCCUCGUGGUCCUCGCGCGUCGACAAUAGCAGCAGCCAGCACUUGUAGAGAUUGCUGAAUGCUGAUCAAUCAAUCAGCCAAGGUAGCCACGGAUCGAUCGAUCAAUCAAUCAAUGGUGAAUUGCCACUUCUUUCAAUUAGGAAGGAAGGACGCACGAAACGUUUCUUGGUUCUUUCAUUCGCUUUUGUUUUGGAGGAGAUCAAACUGCAUCGCGUUUGGUCGAUGCUUUCUCCUCGAUGCUCCUAGCUCCCUUUUCGAUUUGUGUUCAUCAAAUCCAGAGAGGCGGUAGAGGGGCUCUUGUUGUACGCUGCUGGUGUAUGUAAGUACAGUAUAUUCUUAUACUUGUUUAAACCUUUGAAGAAAUCAAUCAUGCGAAACCAUGGAAUUCAAAAUGAAAACCAAUUCUUUAGAGCAACAGGCAUUGCUGCCUGCAUCCACUGUUAUGAUGAACUGAACUGUUGAUGGGCAUGUCCCGAUCGUGUCUGGAUAGGCUCACCGAUCGAUCAAAAUGCGACCUUGUGUUCCUUGCUGGAACUCUUCCUGUCGUUGCCUGUUGAGAUUGGCAUUUGCAUUUUGGGAGGAUGCGGGAAGAUUCGAUGGCCGGCGGCGUGGUUGGUGUGCGGGCGAGAGGCUGUGGUGUGAGCUGUGACUUCGCCUUGGUGAAGCAAGAGGUAGAGGACUCUUCUUUCGUUGGGUACAUACGUACAGUAGGAGGAGAGGAGUUGACGGUGGAUACUUGGGAGCCAUCUAUUUUCUACCAGCACAAUACGUUGCCCUUACGGGCCACGAUUAGAACUAAAUAAAUAACAUAACUUGCCUUGAAAAUCUUAAAUUUGUUCCGAUUCCAAUAAUUUAUUAUCCUAUAUUUUACACUUGUAUAUAUUUUAUUUAAUUAUUUCUACUCAUUUGAAAAGCAUAAAGACAUAUUAUAACAAUCAUACAUCCCAACCUUAGUCUUUACCGGGUGAUUGUGUCGAACAACACAUAAGGUAAUCUGCGUAUUGAUGCGUCUUUAAUUUCAUUUAGAAGUUUUUCACUGAUUUUAUGCGCCGUGCAUUAUACCGGCCACCCCUCUCUCUCCCUCGCACUCUCCCUCUCUCUCAAGUCUACCAUAGCUCUUUAUGAAUUGUGAUGUAUAAACUGAACAGAUAAAAUGUACCAACUUAGUCUCUUUCGGAAGAAAAUGAAUUGAACAACCUUUGCUCUUGAGUCUUGGGCGUAUCUAGUCAACUCUGCGGAAACAAACUUCUACUUAUGCAUGCGAGGACCAUGCGUGGCCCAUGCACAGUGUCGAGCAUGUCUUGCGUGAACCGUACACCAGACAGACGAACUGCUAUAGCUGGCAUGCAACAUUCCCACAACUCGACACUGCCACCGAUGACUGCUCUAGCUAGCAUGCAAUCUUCCCACAACUCGACAUUGCUAGAAGGCCCAUCGAUGACGCAUGGAGAAACAAAGGACAUGUUGCGUUGAAUCGCCAAUGCGUCCACUUAGGCUUAUCCACUCUGUCACCGUGGACGGAGCCACUUAAUCCACUCACCCAUUUCUCUCUCAUCUAUACUUCUUCCCAGCUCUGCUGUGGCGAUCCCCACAGCCACCCUAGCUCAGGCCUCAAGUCAAGGAGCCUCUUCAGCGUCUUCGCAGCGUCUCCCGAGUGCGUCGCCAGGCACCACCUGCUGCCCCCUCCUUCCCCCGACCCCACCUCGGUCCGUCGUCUUCUUGAGCUUUGUCCGCUGCCACCUCCUCGAGCUUCCCUCUAUCCACUGUCGAGCCACCAACUCCAGGCUCCAGCGGGGAUGCACACCAGCACGUCGUCGCCACAAACACAAUUCAUGGUGCUCAUCUACGUCACCAUUGGCAUGGCCAGAGCUCAUCCUAGACGGCACGGUGCGGCCUCGUCGCCCUCAUCCCCCAAACAGUGGCUUGGGCGACGAGGAUGCGCGUGGGCAACCACGCCAUCUACGGUGAGGUUAGGGAAAGGGACCGGAGGAGGAGGGCACCGCAGCGAGCGGUGGCGCGGGCGGCCAGAGGAUGGCGAGAGGGCUGGAUGUGGAGGUGGCGGCCAAUGGAUGGCGAGGGGGCCAGCGGCGGACUGGAAAAGGAGGGCACGAGUGGAUGGCACACGAAGGGACUUUUUAGCAAAAUCGACAAGUCCUAUUCCAAGGACUGCAGGUUGAUUAAAAAAAGUUGAGAGACUUUUUUGCAAAAUAACCACGGCGGUCAGAAGAAACAACAGCACUUUAAUAUUAUGUAGAGAUAAGCGGCAGGUGGUAGGUGUAAGUGCCUGAUUUUGACUAGACAGACAAGGCACUCAACUCCUCCAAUUCGUUAGGCUGCACAAGCAUGAAGCGUGGUUCGGUGCAAGAUGAGCAUCGCGCCAGCUUUUCCUCACGUCAUGCUACUCGAUGCAUUGAUGCAUGACAGAUCUAAGGAGUAAGGAGGGGCAUCUACCAUUUUCCAGUAAGAGACGAUGCUUUAGUCUUGGCAUGAGGGCAACAACAAUCGUGGCAAAUCCCAUCGUCCUCACAAACUACUACCGGAGAUCUUGGUAGGUGAAAUUUGAGGUGGCAAUGGAGAAUAUGCUCCCGGUCAUGCUUGCUGGCAGUGGCAGGUAGAUAAUUGCAGAAAGGGAAAGCAAGAGUCCCGAUCAAGACCACAGGAUUGGCAAACACAAUUAUAACAGUGUACAACCCAUUCUGAUUAGUUAAUAAGAGUUUAAGAGUAAUUUUCGUGAUGAAUCUAGCAGCAUAAACCAUAGAUUGUCUACUUUUCGUAUGCAUUGAUAGGUCGAUUUAAACAAGUUUCGCCAACUGGAAUCCUGAAACAAAUUACAUUCGGAAUUGGACCAACUAACAACCUUCCUACCUUAUGUAAGUGCAAAAUGAAAGGCUUUCAGAUAAUCAGGUCCAUCAUCAACAAAGUGAGCUCGUUGAAUCGUUGUUUGCCUAUUCGUUCGUGCAACUCGAAAACGCGUUAACGGAACCAUGACACUGGGGAAAAAAAUACGAUGACAGGUUGACAGCAAAUCGAUCACAACUAACCUGUUUAGCCCUGCCUAUCAUGUUCUAUUACUAUCGGUUUCUUCUCAAGUACAAAAAUCCCUACUUCUCAAAAGAUCGAGAGCGAGUAUGUCGUCAGAAACACAGUAUAGACUUACAUGCGGGGCAUCUUCCCCUUUUUCCUCGUAAAUAAACAAUACAUUCUUUUGACAUGCUCCUACAAAGCUUUUCUUUCUAUCAACAGAAAGAUCCUUCUCCUCAGAUGGAGUCCAAAAAUAUUAAGCUUUUGAUUAUUCUGAUUCAUAUGGCCAAAGCGCGCUCCCCCAGGGCCUUAUUCUUUGACUCAUGUGGAUUUCUACAGGAAAUCCAAGGAAGAUUUCAGUUCUUCACCAAAAUUUUGUUUUUGAUACUGCCUGCCACCUUCCCACUAAUCCGUCUACAUGUAUACCAUCAGCCCCGUUGCAACAGACCGCCUGCCGCUGCACAGUUUCCUCAUUCAAACCCCUUCAGGCUCCCUCCAUCUCGAGGCCCCCAGAAGAGUUUAGCUGCUGCUUCAGCUGCUGUGCACAACAAUCAUGCUAGUCCACCUCCAUGCCGUUGUUUGAGCCUCUUGGCAUACAUCUUACAUGGACUAUGGGCACAUGCUCUUCGCCCUCAACAUUGCUUCCACAGCUGCCUUCUCUCUUGGGGUAAUCCAAAAACACUGCAUCCUUGUACAUCCAGUCCCCCUUCUCAACAGAAUAGAUGUCAUCAAAUGGCUCCCCACAUAGCGCACAGAUAAUUUGGCUCUCAUCUGCAGGAACCAUAAACUCACACACUUCUUCUGCAGAACCUAAAUCCGCAUCAGAUGCCUCAGCGCUGUCCUCAAUUUCAUGAGAUCCAUCAAUGUAACUGUUCUUGCUAGGGUACCAUUUUUUAGGUGCGAUACCAGCAUAGCUCUUAGACUCCCUUGACACAGGACAUGGCGCGUGCGACCUCAAUUCCUCUUCAAGACUGAACCUUUCACCACAGGUUUUACACUGAUAGUUUUGGUCACCAAACAGGCUGCUAAUCACAUGUUCAUGGCACUCACGAAGUAUCUCUUGCUUGAACUCCAGGCCAAUAAGGUCACCUGUCUUGAUUUUGAUAACUUUGGGUAACAAAGUGUUUGUUGGGGCUGAUGAAUCAGAAUUAGAUGUCUCCUUACCAACUGAAGGCUUCUGAGCUGGCAUAGGCAUAGCUGAAGCUGCAACAUCUGUAGCGUUUGCGCUUGAUGCUUUAUUUGGCUGUGAAGGGCCAGCAGCAGAUGAAUCAGUGGCUGGCGAAGAGAUCAACCCCUUUGCAACCAGGGAACUGAGAAGGCUUGAGAGCGGUGCAGCUAUCCCCGCACUCUGUGUUGGAGGUGGUGGCAGGCCCGGUGGCAAAGGUGGACGAGCAGUGUUUGGUGCCUGUGUUUGCAAAGUGGUAUUUUCGCCAGCUGCAUUUUGCAGUGAUGAAGAUGCCACUGGAGGAGAUGGCAGAGUACGUGGAAGUGGCCCACUUGGAACAAGAGGUUGUGCCCUCAAACUUGCAAGAUCGCUGGGGUUAUUUGGUUUGAACCCACUCUUUAUGAGACCAGCCAACAAAUUACUAGCACUUGUCAGAUCUGAGGUUAUAGGGGUGGGAUCACUGGGUAAAGAGACUUCUCCAAGCUGGAUGGAAGGUCUCGACAACGAUGGAGAAUUUUCACGUGAAAAGCUUGCCUGCACUUGAUCAGUUGGCUUGAUAUGUGACUUUGGCUGCAAGGUAGCAUACUUUUGUCCCUGCUGGGUUGCUAGUAGACUAGGUUGUCCCUGAGGAAGUCCAGCAUUGUGAGACAUAAAAUGAGAAUCUUUAGCAAGUGCUGCCGCUCUUAGGCUAUAUUCUUCUUGAGGAUUUUGGCCCAAUUGAGAAAAUGAUCUGGAAGGAUAAAAAUCAGGCUCAGCAGGAUUUGGAGAACUCUGACGUACAAAGGGUGCAGUAGAUGAAGGUGAGUGAGCUGGUGGAGGAGAAGAUGACCAAUAUCUGUGCUUUUGCUGCCCAAAAGUCUCAGUUGAUCUUAUUGGUACACUGUUUGCACUAUCUAGGCUUGAUCUUCCAGCGUAAGGUCCUGAUAACCCAACAGGUACAGACGAAGUGAUACUUGCUGACAUGGUACCAGUAUAAAUAGUAGACCUCUCUCCUGGCUGAUUGGAAAACCUUGAUAUCCUAGGAUCCAGCCCAAUGUCUGGGUGUGUGUUUUCCUGGGAUGCCCAGAGAGAGGAACUUCGAGGUGCCGGCAACUGUUGUCCAUCAGGCCUAAUUUCCCGAUCAAUUCUUGGUCCCACCUCAUGCUUACCAUGAAUGUACUCUUCAUGAUCCUGAACAAUUGAAAGACAACAGUAUUAUAAUCUUUUCUGACUAGAACGAAAAAGUGGAAGAUAUAUAACGAAAAUUUUCAUUGUGAAUGGUUCACAUUGAAACAACAGACAACAUAAUAGACAGUUUAUUGCAUCUGGCAAUACUAUGUACAGUAAUGAGCAUAUCAUGAUUACUGGAUUUCUCCAAUAACUUUGAUUCACAUACCAUGUAUGCCGCAAGUCUUCUAUCUUGACCUGUUGCAAGUCCAAAUCUUGGGUCUAGAUGUUCAACAGCUCCUCCCUCUGCCCAUUUAGCCCUUUGGAGGCUUGCAAACUUAGCAUUGCCAUCAUCGACCAUCCAUUCUCCUUUUCUUACAGUGCUGUUACUACCAUAAUCUGCUGCUUGAGAAUGUACAUCAUCCCACACAUACUCUUCUUCCUCGGAGUGCUUCCAGCUUUUGUUUGAUGAAGGCCUACCAAUUCUAUCAGGAUCAAUGGAAGGAGUUGGAAGAAGUGCACUAUCCAAACGUACAGGUCCUGAUGGCCGAACAUCCUUGCUUGCAUAAAAGUUGCUGCGCCGGUCAAAUUGUUCUUCAGAAGAGCCAACACCAGUGGCAUAAUACGGCCCCCCGAUUCCAUCUUGACCUUUGGAUUUUGAGCGAACUUGACCAGUUCCCACAACAGCUUGUUGUGAAAUGUUGGAGAAUCCAAGACCCCUGACAUCUCUACCUGCCUGUUUUUCAUUAACAGGAUUGCUAAAAGGGUCCCUCUGAGUGCGCUGUAUGUUCUGCAUAUUAUAGUUAAAGUACUGUAUUAGGGGAACAAUGUGUGAACGAAAGCACUGAUACUUUCCUGGCAUUUUACAUGAAGAGGUAUCAAAAAGCCAAAGAGAUUACAAAGAACUUACAGGCCUAGCAUUAGGAGCAUCUAAUCGUCGCACUGCACUUCUAUCAGUACCUAGCCUGUUAGCCCUCUCAAUAUCAUUGCCUGCAUCAGCAAUUACAGCUGUCUUAGCACCACUUCCCAGUAUCCCCUGUACGAGGUAAGGAAAAACAGCAUCAGAAACAAAAUCACAUGAGGUGCAAUAGAACAAAGUGGAAGCUACAAUGCUAGACAUUAUACAUGAAGGUCAGAGGAGUGAAUAGGUAUAUCCAGACAAGUUGAGAUAGAUGGCUUACCUUAGUUGGUUGAUUGAGCUGCUGUCGUGCUUCCAAAUAUUUUGGAUUUACAUGUAUGCUAUUGGAUGGCCGCGGGGAUUGAGAUUCAGGCCUCGAUGGUGUGGCACUUGAGGAUCCAUUGGCAGAUGACUGAAAACCAAGGUCUUUCUCAAUCAUUUGGAGCGGAUGAGGAGGAAACACUCCUUUCCAUGUUCCGAAAAGGUGCCUCAUGCUAUGAUGUAUAGAAGGAUCAACUUGUUUAUACGCCUUGCAGAACACCUAGCAACAAAAGCAACCAAAGAAAACUAACGUUGAUUGUGAUAUACAAGUUACACUCAAAAUAAAGAAAAUAUUGCUCCAGGGUUUGGAACUGUCUUUAUUCUCACAUCAAGAAGAUGGCAUAGGACGGGAUACUAACCUCUGGUAGUCUUGAAGAGAAAUGUUUAACAUAAUCUUUUCCAAUAUUCUUGACAAUACUGUCAAGUAGAUAUAGAGAUGGUAGCUUCUGUUCACUUGGAACCUACAGGCACAAGCAACCAUCAAAUGAGAUAGAUAUGCCCCCCUCCAUCCGUAGUGGAUAACAAUCACAUAACAUUAUAGAAAGAGCUAAAACCAGAAGCAAGAUUGUACUAAUGCAGGGAAACAGGAACCAAACAACGCUGAUAUGCCUCAAAUGUUGAUUCAAGACAAGAACACUAGCAGAUAUGAUUUGAUGACAGAACAUAUCCAAUGGUGUGGAUCUUUCAGUUCCAAUGACUACCUAGUUGAAAAGGACCAAUGGUGUUUAUUAAUCCCUUCUCUUCGAUGACUAGGUCUCAAUCCUACUUCUGAAGAAUCCCGUAAUUUUCCUUUUAGCAUACAACCAAGGAACAAAAUGAGCCUAAACAAUAUGCCACCUCAACCUGAAGACAGCAGCACGAUUACAGAAAGAAGUAACACAACCAAGACAACCAAAUGUUUGGCAGUUAUCCAGGAAUGUGAGAAGCCCAGCGCAUGUCACACUUGUGGCAUAGAUUAUUAUACUUCAUACUUCCCUGUUCUUUCAUCAGCGCAUCCAUACAUCAUACAGAUUUACAUGACAAUAUAUGAUACACUUCAGUUUGGAAUAGAACUUUCUGAAUUCUGAAUCCUUUGUGAUUCACCAUUAAAUCAGAUAGGUACACAAAUAUCAAGAGAUUAUUGGUCGGUAUGAGAGUAGCAUAUCAAGAAAUCUGUGCCAAAGUUUCUGAAAGCGUGGGAAUGAAACGGUUUUGAAGCAGUGCCCAACCAUAAGCCAAUAGCUUAAGAUUGUUUACCGCCACUGAUAACUGCUGUAGCCCUCUAAUUAGCAGAGGGUGGUUCCAACCAUAAUGUUCAUAUUUGUUUUGCCAUGACACACGGGUCCGAAUUUAAACAGCAAAUGAAAAUUUGGGAAAUUAAAUCGAGCAAAGGAACUUCACGAGAGAAUUCAUAAAACCACGUAUUUAGCAUCACAAGUGAGCAACGCAGGCACGAGAGAGCAAGAGAGAGAAAAAGAGGGGGUGAGAGAGAUUUGCCGCGGCAAAGAUAGGUCAAUCAGUAUUUUCUUUUCCAGCUAUUUUACACACAACAAUUCCCUUCGCAACAUCACAGCGAUUGAUCUCGAUAGCAACCAUGGACACCAGUACAAUGCACAGAGGCCUGAGAAUCCAACAACAACACCUAGCACAUGCACUGUAUCUAGCAUCAGACACAGACGGUGCUUGCUGCUACUUGCCGGAGCCUUAGUAUUACUUUUACAUGGUGAAUUGAAGGGGAAAGGAGGGUACUUUGAUGAGUGUAAGGGGAGUCAAAGGCAAAGGUCACCUCGAGGAUGUUGGCGCAGAUGAGGGCGGCAAUGGGCUUGGCGGCCUGGAGGUUCUCGCCGGCGAUGAUGGUGAGGUUGGUGAUGAUGGGCUUGGAGUUGAAGGUCAGCUCCCCGAGCGCGGUCCGGUACUGUCCGAGCAGCUCGUCGACCAGCGCCUGCUCGGCGGCGCUGGCUGCGGCGCCAUUGGAGGCGGCGGCGUAGGACGAAGAUCUGGGGUCCCGCGGCGGCGGCUGCGCGAGGCGCGGCUUCUUGGCGACGCCGGGGUCGGGGCCCGGCGCGGAUCUGCGGGAGGCGGCGGAGGCCUCCAUGGGGGCCGCGGAGGCGGAGGCGCGCAUGGCGGGGGGGAGCUUAGGGUUUGGGGCGCAUAGGCAUAGGGGAGGGAGCAGCUAGGGUUUGCGAGGCGGCUGAGGCAAUCGAAGCCGAGCCCCGGAACCCGGGUUGGGAGACCGCCGAGUAGGGUUUGGGAAUCGGGAGGAAUGGAUUUGGGCAGCGAGGGAGCGAGGAGGAGGAAGAGGCGGGGAGGUGGCUCGGACAGUGGACGCAGCAGCAGGUUUGAUUUGAUUUCGCCGGAGGAGCGUUUCGGGUCGAGGAGGGAGGGAGGGAGGAAGCAACGCGAGCCGCGAAGCGAGGAGGAACCGAGGAAGAGGACGCAGCUGCGCAAGCUGCUGCCCCCUUUUAUCACCUAGCCCCUUUCUAUUUGUGGAAUUUGUGACGGUUAACUUGCUCACUCGCUCUGUCUGAGAAUGCACAUCUCCCCGCUUAGUAGUUUUUUUUUGUUAUAGGCCAAAUCUUUGACCAACAAUUCAAUCUAUUUGUAGUAUACAAAUUUUCAUCUUAAAAAGAAAAGGUAGUGUAUACCUUUGUGAUACAAAAUUGAUGUUAUUAUUUACUUAUGAUUAAAAGUUUGUCACAAAAUAUUAUAUCAAUAAAGCAAUUGAUAAUCAAAUGUAAUGCAAGGUAUAUUCAGUACCAUGUUCAUCUGUGCUGGACAUAGUGAAAAAGUUGCUGAAACGCGGUGUAGAGAAAUUUCAGGAAACACCAAUUUAGCCAUGAUGACAACUACCAAAACACAGUGCUGGACAAAACGCGGAGUAGAAACAAGUUUGCCACAAAAAGUGUGCUGUGCUGGAUAAGUGUGCAGAGCUCCGUCAACCUUUUGUCUAUCGUAAAGACACAGAUUGUAAAUGUGAGCAGACAAGGUUGCUGGAAAGUAGCAAAGAAAGCACGAUCCUGUGCAGACCUCUGGUCUACCUUUUGCCGGCGAUCAAUUGUUCAUGAUCUGUGUAGGAACCCCCUGAAGUGAAGAAAUGGUUACAGCUUUUUGGCCAUGGUAAUCACUAAACCAUGUUCCGAGAUCAUCACAAUUCAAUCCAAAGAUUCGAACUCCUCCAUAGAAGGCCCACCAGGCUAGGAACUGAAGCCCUGAAAAAUCAGCGUCAGUACUUGCAUGCACUGAUGAAAAUUAUAUGCGCAACAACUUCGUGACACCGAAAUUAUUCCAUCAGGUCAGACAUAUCUGCUGCACGGACAUAAUAUCUGGCAAUCAGUGAACUAGUGAAGUCAUGAACCCACACCACAAGCAUGGCAGGAAACCCAAAGACAUUCAUGUCUGCUUGCUGAUAUUCAGCUUCGGCGACAACAAUACAGGUACUAUCACUCACCUAAUUUCGUGGUAUGUUACAUUACAAUUUACAAGAGAUGAAGAAACAGGCAUACAUACAGAUAUACAUCAGCUUCUACGGAACUGCACUGCUUGGUCUAGGUCAGUAAUAGAAUCAAAGGCCUGAAGCAAGUCAGCCAAAAUCUUUUGUUUUCAUGGCUACCUGUAGUUACAUACUGUACAAAGAAAUCUAUAGACUGGAAUUUACAGGAAAUGGUCAGGAAAUUUGAACCCAACGUGCAUUCUCUGAUGUGAGCAAGAUAUCAUCACAGGAUAACUCCGUAUAAGAAACAAACUGAAAAUCCAAAUUAGCAAAGGAUGUCAUCCCACAUCUCAUGGGGAAGUUAGACUAACAGUUCCAUCUGAUAUCCAUUGAAGCAACAUGCAGACCUG